CACGGGGGGAGCAAGCGUUGCUCGGAAUCACUGGGCGUAAAGGGUGCGUAGGCGGGUCUUUAAGUCAGGGGUGAAAUCCUGGAGCUCAACUCCAGAACUGCCUUUGAUACUGAAGAUCUUGAGUUCGGGAGAGGUGAGUGGAACUGCGAGUGUAGAGGUGAAAUUCGUAGAUAUUCGCAAGAACACCAGUGGCGAAGGCGGCUCACUGGCCCGAUACUGACGCUGAGGCACGAAAGCGUGGGGAGCAAACAGG
rnacentral:rRNA from 1 species